GAUGAACGCUGGCGGCGUGCCUAAUACAUGCGAGUCGAGCGAACAGACGAGGAGCUUGCUCCUCUGACGUUAGUGGCGGACGGGUGAGUAACACGUGGAUAACCUACCUAUAAGACUGGGAUAACUUCGGGAAACCGGAGCUAAUACCGGAUAAUAUAUUGAACCGCAUGGUUCAAUAGUGAAAGACGGUUUUGCUGUCACUUAUAGAUGGAUCCGCGCCGCAUUAGCUAGUUGGUAAGGUAACGGCUUACCAAGGCAACGAUGCGUAGCCGACCUGAGAGGGUGAUCAGCCACACUGGAACUGAGACACGGUCCAGACUCCUACGGGAGGCAGCAGUAGGGAAUCUUCCGCAAUGGGCGAAAGCCUGACGGAGCAACGCCGCGUGAGUGAUGAAGGUCUUCGGAUCGUAAAACUCUGUUAUUAGGGAAGAACAAAUGUGUAAGUAACUAUGCACGUCUUGACGGUACCUAAUCAGAAAGCCACGGCUAACUACGUG
rnacentral:rRNA from 1 species